AUUGAACGCUGGCGGCAUGCCUUACACAUGCAAGUCGAACGGCAGCACGGGUGCUUGCACCUGGUGGCGAGUGGCGAACGGGUGAGUAAUACAUCGGAACGUACCUUAUCGUGGGGGAUAACGCAGCGAAAGUCGCGCUAAUACCGCAUACGCCCUGAGGGGGAAAGCGGGGGACCGUAAGGCCUCGCGCGAUUAGAGCGGCCGAUGUCUGAUUAGCUUGUUGGUGAGGUAAAAGCUCACCAAGGCGAUGAUCAGUAGCUGGUCUGAGAGGACGAUCAGCCACACUGGGACUGAGACACGGCCCAGACUCCUACGGGAGGCAGCAGUGGGGAAUUUUGGACAAUGGGGGCAACCCUGAUCCAGCAAUGCCGCGUGAGUGAAGAAGGCCUUCGGGUUGUAAAGCUCUUUUGUCAGGGAAGAAACAGCAGCUCUAACACAGUCUGCGAAUGACGGUACCUGAAGAAUAAGCACCGGCUAACUACGUGCCAGCCGCCGCAGUAU
rnacentral:rRNA from 1 species